AGGAGCCUUGAAAAACAUGUAAAACAAAAUCGUAAAAUAAAAAGCGCAACGCUCAGAAAACGAGAUUACUUGCGUGCUAAGAAACCUAGAGAUUAUAGGUGUAACUAAACAAAAGAUAGAAUA